rnacentral:rRNA from 1 species
UGAAUACGAGACGCUACGGCGUUGAAGCAGUCUAUGUCAUACUUCCAAGAAAAGCUCGCAAUGUCUUAAACAAAUAAUGCCUGUACCAUAACCGACACAGGUGGGUAGGUAGAGUAUACUAAGGGGCGCGAGAUAACUCUCUCUAAGGAACUCGGCAAAAUGACUCCGUAACUUCGGGAGAAGGAGUGCCUUAUUUAUAAGGUUGCAAUAACAAGAUCCAAGCAACUGUUUAUCAAAAACACAGGUCUCCGCUAAGUCGUAAGACGAUGUAUGGGGGCUGACGCCUGCCCAGUGCCAGAAGGUUAAAGAAGUUGGUUAGCAUUCGCGAAGCUGAUGACUGAAGCCCUGGUGAACGGCGGCCGUAACAAUAACGGUCCUAAGGUAGCGAAAUUCCUUGUCGGGUAAGUUCCGACCCGCACGAAAGGCGUAAUGAUUUGGAUACUGUCUCGGAGAGGGGCUCGGUGAAAUAGACUUGUCUGUGAAGAUGCGGACUACCUGCGCCUGGACAGAAAGACCCUAUGAAGCUUUACUGUAACUUGAAAUUGAAAUUGGACUUUAUUUGCGCAGCAUAGGUGGGAGGCGUUGAGAAUAUUCUUGCGGGAAUGUUGGAGCCAUCAGUGAGAUACCACUCUUGUAAUGUUAGAUUUCUAACUUUGUAUCAUGAUCUGGUCAAAGAACAGUUUCAGGCGGGCAGUUUGACUGGGGCGGUCGCCUCCCAAACGGUAACGGAGGCGUACAAAGGUUUCCUCUGAACGGGUAGAAAUCGUAUCUAGAGUGUAAAGGCAUAAGGAAGCUUGACUGUGAGACCUACAAGUCGAGCAGGGACGAAAGUCGGUCUUAGUGAUCUGACGGUGCUGAGUGGAAAGGCCGUCACUCAACGGAUAAAAGUUACUCUAGGAUAACAGGCUGAUCUCCCCCAAGAGUUCUCAUCGACGGGGAGGUUUGGCACCUCGAUGUCGGCUCAUCGCAUCCUGGGGCGGUAGUACGUCCCAAGGGUUGGGCUGUUCGCCCAUGAAAGCGGUACGCGAGCUGGGUUCAGAACGUCGUGAGACAGUUCGGUCCAUAUCCGGUGUAGGCGUUAGAAUAUUGAGAGGAGCCUUCUUUAGUACGAGAGGACCGAGAAGGACAUACCUCUGGUGUACCAGUUAUCGUGCCAACGGUAAACGCUGGGUAGCUAUGUAUGGAGUGGAUAACCGCUGAAAGCAUCUAAGUGGGAAACCCACCUCAAGAUAAG